AGAACGCGGGCAUGCAAACCAUACAGAAAGCAGUGCCCUCACCUAAAUACCGGGCCGUAAGCAUUGGCGAGGACAGCGAAGGCGUCGGGCCCGUACUUUGCGAGCAAGGGCAGGUGUCCGACGAGAGGCGUGGCGGGAGGUCCCGGCACCUUCCUCACCCCCCAGUAGGGUGCAUACAAGUACAGUACAAGCACCGUGGCUACGACCGCCGUCGCCACCACCGCGAAGAGCCAAGCGGCAGCAUCUGCGGCCUCGGAGAUCCCUCCAGCCACUCCCACAGCCAUUGAUCUCCUCUUGCCUAACAAAAUAAGGACUGUUAAGGUUUUGUUACAGGUGGUGGAAACCUUCUAGUUCAAUUUAUAAGGCAGUCUCUGGUUUUCUACCGAUAGAUUUCACUCUGCGGUGCUUUAGAAUUCGCGCAGAGCAACGUCUAAAAUUUCUUACACUCUGUAACAAGUAAAAUUUGAACGUAGAAAAAUAUGCAGAUAAUAAAGAUUAACUUUUCUUCACCAUGCAUCCUACUCUCCAAUAACUACAAGAGUGAGGUGAAAGCGAAGGCCUCCAUGGUGCACUCUCCAUCUUUAACAAAGUGGGCAACUAUAAUGGGGGGAACAACUUGAAUGGGUCUCAUGUAGUUGAUAAGAACCCCAGCUAUAUAUACAUAUCUAAUUAAGAUAAAAAAAAAAAAAAAAAUUAUAGGAUCAAUAUUCGUGGUGAGACAGUUUUAUUCACCGUUCUAAAAACUUUUUUCUCAUAAAAUUUGUGGGGGGAGCAACACAUGGUGGGUGGGUCCCACCGUGACCAUCCAAUCCAAGCGUGCGCUUACCACUUAUUAAUGAACCACUGAAUUACCGGUGCGCGAUGCUGCGGAUAUAAAAUUAUUUUUAUAAUAAAUUUUAUUUUUUUUAAUAUUUGUAUAUAGGUUUAUAAGUCUAAUUAUUAAUUAAAUAAAAAUUAUAUAAAAAUAAUUUAGUAGUUAAAUUUAUUUAAAUAAAAAUCAUUAAAAUUGAUAUAUGCGCAAAGUAUAUUUAUAUAAUAAUUUAUUUUAUAAAGAUACAUAUGAAGAGAUUGAAUAAAUUUAAAUAAAUUUAUAAAAUCAAUAAUAGAAGAAAAUAAAUUGUAAAUGAAAUUGUUUAAUAAAAUUAAUUAUAUUAUACCAGAAAUAACUAUUAUUUUAAAUUCUAACAUCUAAAUUUAAAUACUAUAUUUUUUUUAUACAAGCGAUAUUUUACGUGAUUAAAUUAUAUUAUAGGUUUAGAUUUUAUUACGAUAAAUUUAUUAUGCGUAUUAUUAAUAAAAAUUAAAUUAUUAUAUUAUUUAAUUAAUUUGAAUUAAAUUAAAAUUAAAAUAUGAAAUUAUAAGUAAAAUUAAUUUAAAUUUACAGAUUUGAAUUUAAAAUUUAAAUUAAAAUUUGAAGUAUAAAUUUUACAUUUUCAUAUAAAAUUUAAUUAUUAAUAAGCUGUUAUAACAUUUAUUAUAAAGUGGUGUGUGUGUGGCGCGGGCGGUCGUGGUGUGGCGUGUGCGUGCGUGUGUGUGGGGGGGGGGGGGGGGGGGGGGGGGGGGGGGGGGGGGCGGCGGUGCGUGUGUGCGCGCGCACGCGCGCGUGUGUGUGGAGAGAGAGAAUGAAGUGGAGGGUUGGGGGACAGGUGUCAACCUAAGGUUCCCCUCCUUUAAUGUAAUAGAAAUAGAUGUGUGCGCAUGUGCGUGUGUGCGCGUGUGUGUGGAGAGAGAGAAUGAAGUGGAGGGUUGGAAGACAGGUGUCAACCUGAGGUUCCCCUCCUUUAAUGUAAUAGAAAUAGAUGUCCAGUAGUAGUAAAUUAGCAAUAGUAGUAGUAAUAUAUAAUAAAAACCUUUUUUUGGGAUUCAUCAAUCAUCUGCACACGAAUAUUCCGACCACCGAAUCCUGAAACUUUUUUUUUAUUUUUGAAUAUAUUAUGGAUGUUUCGGACUAAAAUGUCAGCUAUUUAUUAUUGGGCCAAAAUAGGUCCAACUUUUUGAUUCGUGAUAAUAGGUUCAGGAGACUAAUAAAUUGAGUUGGGUUAGUCUAAUAAGUUGAGUGGGGUUACAGUCCACAAGAGACCUAACGGCAAGAGAUAUAACAAUAGACUCAAUAUUCAGGUGGGUUGAAUCAAGUCGAAGUCCGUAAACGCUAUGUUUGAACUCUUAAGUGCGAUGGAUCCGCCCUUGCUAUCAGUACUUAUUUUUAGGAUAGUUGGUUAGCGCUUACGAUACACAAAUGAUAUUAAAGCCAAUGGCAUGGAUUCGAUUUUCAUAUACUAUAUUAAUGAUGUAGGGGUUGUUGGCUAUUUACUAUUGGGCUAAAAUAAGUCAAACUUUCUGCUCCCUAAUAAUAGCCUCAGGAGACUAAUAAGUUCAGUGGGAUUGCGGUUCAGAAGAGAUCUAACGGCAAGAUACCCAACAAUAGACUCAAGACUCAAUGUCCAAAUGGAUUGAGUUAGAUCCCAAUAAUAGGUCAAAUUUUUUGCCCCAUAAUAAUAGACUUAUGAGACUAAUAAGUUCAGUGGGAUUGCAGUUCAGAAGAGACCUAACAGCAAGAUGCCCAACAAUUGACCCAAGAGUCAAUAUCUAGAUGGGUUGAGUUAGAUCGUUAGGUUUUCCAUCAGCACGUGCUUUUGGAAUAGUUAGUUAGCGCUUAUAAUCCGCAUAAACACGAUCUCCAUUUGAAGAUGAGACUUUCUAAGCAUCUUGCCAAGUAUUAUUAUAUAUUUAUAUGUAAUAAAUUAAAGAUGAAAAAAAAAUACAGAGACCAAUUAGAUGUCUAAAUUUUUAAUUUUAACAAUUAGACAUUCUAAACAUUAUCAAUUAUAUUACUAGGCUUCUCUUCUAAGUCAAAUUUAUAAUUACAUAGUUACUUUGAUUGCAAGAUUUAUACAAAUCUUAUAAAACCUUAAAAUAUACAGAGACCAAUUAGAUAUCUAAAUUUUUAAUUUUAAUAAUUAGACAUUCUAAACAUUAUCAAUUAUAUUAAUAGGCUUUUCUUCUAAGUAAAAUUUAUAAUUAUAUAGCAAUUUUGAUUGCAAGAUUUAUACAAAUCUUAUAAAACUUUAAAUUAUUAAAAAAAAAAACUAACGAACUUAUCUUCGACUUUUAUUUUUAUAAUAUACAUCCCCCGUAAGGAAUGUACAUAUGACAUCUGGGCUUAAGGAUAGAUCCAUAUCGGAUGUGAUAAUCAUAUGUACAGAUAUAUAUAUAUAUAUAUAUAUAAGGCUGUAUAGGUUAGACUUGACAAUUGGACCUAAGUAUUUUGGGCCGAUGAAUUUUUCUAAUUGAUUAUCAAGUCUAAAAUAUCUAAUUAAUCAGCUCAGCGAAUCAAGUUUGGAUGCAUGUAUGUAUAAUGUUGGACCGACUAGACUUAAUACAAUCGAAAUUAAAUAUUUUGGGCCAAUAGAUUUGGCCCCCUACCGACCCAAUGAAUUGUCAUAUUUAGAAUAUUCAGUUAAAGUAAUGUUAUCGAUACACUGAAAAAUGAAUUGCAUAUCUUACAUUCAUUCUAUUCGAUGAUCAUUAAUUUUUUUUAUCUAUCAUAUUAAUUUUUAUUUUUAUUGAAAAUAUUUAGAUUUUUGUAAAUUUUAAAAUAAGAUUGUAAAAUUUAUAUAUAUAUUUUAGAGUGUAGUACAAGUACAAUUUCUCAUCCAGCUAAUCCUCUGGGAGGCAGGUUGUGACCGUAUAUGCAGCAUUUUCCCUGGAAUAUUUUGACAACCUCUUUAUAGGGGUUAAGUACAGCUGCUUCCGUCCAUUACUCCCCUGAUUUCAUCUUCUCUCUCUCUUUCUCUCUCUUCGUGCCUAAACAGUCCUAACGCAUUUAUGAGUUUGGACCAACUCGUAUUCAAAAACAAUGAAGCGUUGGACCCACAAACAAAGAACAUUUGUAGNNNNNNNNNNNNNNNNNNNNNNNNNCAUUGAUGAUGAUAAUAAGUGAAUAAUAAUAAUAUUUUUUUAGAAUAAUAAAUAAAUUAUUUUUUAAUUAUAUUUUUUUAGUCUAUAUAACACACAUUUCCCACUAUUCCAAAUUUAGACGUUAAGCAGUGUUUGAUUGAGGAAUUAGGAGGAAAAUAAGUCCAUACUAUUUCACUUAUAUCUAAUAAUAAUUAGAUUGAAAAAAAAAAUAUUUUAAUUUUUUUAAAAAUAAGCUGGUAUAAUAUUAGAACAGUUGAUUCGCAUCUCGUCCUAAAAUAAGUUUGUUUCUGCUUAUCCUUUAAUAACAUAAAAGAAGCUUGUUCUCACUAUUCCAAUCUAGUUAAUAAUAUUUUUAUGCUAACUAAUUAGAUGAAUCUUAUUCACACUAUUUCAAUCUACAUGUCAAAAUACUAUUUUUUUUUAUUUCAAAAAUAAUUUAAUUUUUAUCUAAAAUAUAAAAUUAGUCUUAUUAAGAACAAUAUAUUUUCGAACCAAACAAUUUAUAAUUGGAAAAACUUCAAAAACCUCCCUUGUGGUCUCAAUUUUUUUCACUUUAGUACCCUGUGGUUUAAAAUAUAUCAAGUUAGUACAUUGUGGUUUCUCACUUUAUCACUUUAGUAUUCUGUGGUUUAAAGUGUAUCAAAUUAGUACCCUAUGGUUUUGCAUUUUAUUACUUUAGUACCCUGUGGUUUUGAUUUUGUAUCAAAUUAGUACCCUGUGGUUUUUUAAACUAUAGGGUACUAAGGUGAUAAAGUGUGAAACCACAGGGUACUAAAGUGAUAAAGUGAUAAACCACAGGGUACUAAUUUGAUACACUUUAAACCACAGGGUACUAAAGUGAUAAAGUGAGAAACCACAGGAUACUAACUUGAUACACUUUAAACCACAGGACACUAAAAUGAAAAAGUGUGGAACCACAGAGGGGGUUUUUGAAGUUUUCCCUUUAUAAUUUCACACGCACCUUGUCCUACCCUCGCCUACAGUAGAGCCAGCAUAAACCCAUAAAAAAAAAAAAAAAAAAAAAAAAAAAAAANUCUCUACUCAAGCAAUCGAGCGAUAAAAAAAAUUAUUCGGACAAUUAUGCUGAAAAAGUUACUGGUACAUUUUUAUUUUUUUUUUAAGCAGCAACCUUACUGGAAAAAGGUCUUUUUGCAGAAUCUCCUAUAAAAACUUUUAUAACUGUAAAAGUAUAAUGGAAAUAUUAGGUAAAAACGUACUGAGAAUACCUCAACCACAGCCUAUUUUGAAAUAGCCCUUCAUCAUUUCGGAAAAAUCUGACAUAUAUUUUCAACAAGAAAAAAGAAAAAGUUUUCAGUCUAGUUUAGAGGAAAGGUGCACUAAUAAAAUAAAUUUGAAGGCUCGAUUUUAGUAGUUCAUUACUUUUGGAACAGUGACAUGAUCGAUAGCAAAAGAUUUUGAAUCACAACGCAAGUACAGUAACUAAUCAACGGCUUAUAUUCAGCCUUCAAUCUUUAGUUUAUCAGUACGUUCUUCACCAGAGCUGGACUCCUAUAGUUUUACGUAAUUUCUCUGCGCAUGGAGAACGCGGGCAUGCAAACCAUACAGAAAGCAGUGCCCUCACCUAAAUACCGGGCCGUAAGCCUUGGCGAGGACAGCGAAGGCGUCGGGCCCGUACUUUGCGAGCAAGGGCAGGUGUCCGACGAGAGGCGUGGCGGGAGGUCCCGGCACCUUCCUCACCCCCCAGUAGGGUGCAUACAAGUACAGUACAAGCACCGUGGCUACGGCCGCCGUCGCCACCACCGCGAAGAGCCAAGCGGCAGCAUCUGCGGCCUCGGAG
rnacentral:lncRNA from 1 species